CCUACGGGAGGCAGCAGUGGGGAAUAUUGCACAAUGGGGGGAACCCUGAUGCAGCGACGCCGCGUGAGUGAAGAAGUAUCUCGGUAUGUAAAGCUCUAUCAGCAGGGAAGAAAAUGACGGUACCUGACUAAGAAGCCCCGGCUAACUACGUGCCAGCAGCCGCGGUAAUACGUAGGGGGCACGCGUUAUCCGGAGUUACUGGGUGUAAAGGGAGCGUAGACGGAAAGGCAAGUCUGGAGUGAAAGCCCAAGGCUUAACCAUGGGACUGCUUUGGAAACUGGGCAGCUUGAGUGCCGGAGAGGUAAGGGGAAUGCCUAGGGUAGCGGUGAAAUGCGUAGAUAUUAGGAGGAACACCAGUGGCGAAGGCGGCUUACUGGACCGUAACUGACGUUGAGGCUCGAAAGCGUGGGGAGCAAACAGGAUUAGAUACCCGGGUAGUC
rnacentral:rRNA from 1 species